rnacentral:rRNA from 1 species
GGGAUUGCCCAGUACGGCGAGUGAGCGGCAACAGCUCAAAUUUGAAAUCUGGUCCCCAGGGCCCGAGUUGUAAUUUGUAGAGGAUGCUUUUGGCGAGGCGCCUUCCGAGUUCCCUGGAACGGGACGCCACAGAGGGUGAGAGCCCCGUCUGGUCGGAUGCCAAGCCUAUGUAAAGCUCCUUCGACGAGUCGAGUAGUUUGGGAAUGCUGCUCAAAAUGGGAGGUAUAUGUCUUCUAAAGCUAAAUACCGGCCAGAGACCGAUAGCGCACAAGUAGAGUGAUCGAAAGAUGAAAAGCACUUUGAAAAGAGGGUUAAAAAGUACGUGAAAUUGUUGAAGGGGAAUGGCGUAUGGCCGGAUGUGGGCCCGGUUAAU